AACCCACUCCUCAAAUCAAUCGUAGCCCUCCGAUUGGCAGAAAACUUUCCCAGGAGCACGGAGUCUGUGUAGACUCCACUCACAGGGUAUCAGAGCCCAGACGACGCAUCGUGGGCUGGGCUGGAAGAUGGGCUCGGGCAGGCAGACUCUGAGAGCUGCGUGGAAGGGUCAAGAGGUUUAGGUAAAGCCCACUGGGGAAUGGGGGAGAGACAGGCUGGUGACACAGACAGGGAACAGGCUGAGCAUGGAUGGAGUCAUUAACAGAGAAGGGGACUGAUGAUCAGAAACAGAGGAAGCUAGCUGUUGUUGCUCCACCCAUGCACUGCCUCUUCCCUGGCUCUCUCUCUCUCUCUCAUUUGACAUGUGUUAUAAAUGAGAAUUUUUUUUUAUUUAUGGUCAGGAAAAUUUUAUUUAUUGAUUUGAUUUAUUUUAAAUUUUUUUCUUACUUUUCUUGGUCACCAAACAUAAAAAAGCGAAAUCCUUUCCCUAUUCGGUAGAGAUACAUGUUAUUUUAAUAGAAUUAGCUUGGUUAAGAUUUGUAGGUCUAAAUUUUUUAUGCUCAAGGGUUAAAAAAUUUCUCAUUUUAAUAAUGUCCCUUGUGGAAAAAUUGGGUUGAGGGGUUUUGAUGAAAAAUACUGGUCUAUGGGUUGACAUUACUAAGAGUGAUAUUUGUGUAAUGGCUCUUUCAUUUUUAUUUUCAUUCUUUAUAUUUGUUCUAAAUCUCACGAUUCUAUUGUUUCGAAGUAUAUUUUUAAUUUUAACAGCAGGGACUUUAUUAUUGGAGUUAUUAGAUGAUGAAUUAUCUGUGAAUGAGACUAUCACGAAGAUAAAGUUAAGGCGAUCUAAGUUUGAAGGGUUUGAACGCUUUGCUCCCGAAGCUAGGGUUUUGGACAGCUCUGCACAUUCACUUGCUCAAUUUUGGACCAAAUUGUAUUGGACAUUCAUUCCAACUGAAGUCCAUUUUGCAAUUCCUCUGCUUUGAAUGAGAGAGGAAGGGAAUUCAGUAAACAUGAGAGAUUGCUUAAAGGAUGAGAAGCUGAAAGAGUUGCAGACACCCACUCUGCAUUCGCCAAGGAGAUCUAAUAUUCUGUAGAUUGUAAAAUUCUUCCUUGCUGUAAAAACCCACUUGCAGCGAGAACUAAAUGAAUGAAUAAACAAAAAAAAUGAAAAUGAAAAUUUACAAUGGUA